CGCAUCCGUCUGCUAUACAUGCAGUCGAACGAACUUCCGUUAAUUGAUUAUGACGUACUUGUACUGAUUGAGAUUUUAACACGAAGUGAGUGGCGAACGGGUGAGUAACACGUGGGUAACCUGCCCAGAAGUAGGGGAUAACACCUGGAAACAGAUGCUAAUACCGUAUAACAGAGAAAACCGCAUGGUUUUCUUUUAAAAGAUGGCUCUGCUAUCACUUCUGGAUGGACCCGCGGCGUAUUAGCUAGUUGGUGAGGUAAAGGCUCACCAAGGCAGUGAUACGUAGCCGACCUGAGAGGGUAAUCGGCCACAUUGGGACUGAGACACGGCCCAGACUCCUACGGGAGGCAGCAGUAGGGAAUCUUCCACCAAUGGACGCAAGUCUGAUGGAGCAACGCCGCGUGAGUGAAGAAGGGUUUCGGCUCGUAAAGCUCUGUUGUUAAAGAAGAACGUGGGUAAGAGUAACUGUUUACCCAGUGACGGUAUUUAACCAGAAAGCCACGGCUAACUACGUGCCAGCAGCCGCGGUAAUACGUAGGUGGCAAGCGUUAUCCGGAUUUAUUGGGCGUAAAGCGAGCGCAGGCGGUCUUUUAAGUCUAAUGUGAAAGCCUUCGGCUCAACCGAAGAAGUGCAUUGGAAACUGGGAGACUUGAGUGCAGAAGAGGACAGUGGAACUCCAUGUUGUAGCGGUGAAAUGCGUAGAUAUAUGGAAGAACACCAGUGGCGAAGGCUGCUGUCUGGUCUGCAACUGACGCUGAGGCUCGAAAGCAUGGGUAGCGAACAGGUUUCGAUACCCUGGUCGUCCAUGCCGUUGACGAUGAUUACUAAGUGUUGGUAGGGUUUCCGCCCUUCAGUGCUGCUGUUAAGGCAUUAACGUAAUCCGGCUGGAGGAGUACGACCGCUAGGUUGAUACUCUUAAAGAAUUGACGGGUGUCCGCACAAGCGCGUGGAUUCAUGUGAGUUUGAUUCUGAAUCUACGCGACUAGAACCUUCACCAGGUCUUGACAUCCUUCUGCCAGUCUACAGAGAUUAGAGGUUCCCUUCGGGGACAGGACUGACAGGUGGUGCGAAUCAGGCUCUCAGUCGUCGAGCUCGUGUCGUGAGAUGUUGGGUUAAGUCCCGCAACGAGCGCAACCCUUAUUACUAGUUGCCAGCAUUAAGUUGGGCACUCUAGUGAGACUGCCGGUGACAAACCGGAGGAAGGUGGGGACGACGUCAAAUCAUCAUGCCCCUUAUGACCUGGGCUACACACGUGCUACAAUGGAUGGUACAACGAGUCGCGAGACCGCGAGGUUAAGCUAAUCUCUUAAAACCAUUCUCAGUUCGGACUGUAGGCUGCAACUCGCCUACACGAAGUCGAAUCGCUAGUAUUCUUGAAUCC
rnacentral:rRNA from 1 species